AAGUUGCCAAGCAGCAGCAAGUUUGUGGUUUGGUCGAGGUUUCCCAUUGCAAAAAGAAGCAGGUUUCGGUAGGUGAGGCAAAAUUUUGCUGCACUGGUUUGGGUGGUGUGCGGCAUUAGCAUGAAUAUUUGUUCCAUGUUUUGUACUGGUGACCAGCAUUAUUUCUUGUGGUCUGGACACUGGCUUUGCGGGUGAGCCAGUUGGAUAUUUCUAAAACAUAUACGGAUCCCUUACAUACCAGUUACGCUGAAAUAAUAAUUGCCCUAAUUAGGCAGUGCUGUUUCAUUUAAGUGUUUGCUAAGAUUUUUUUCAUAGCUUCAUUUAACCAUUAAAUUGUGUUUCAUAGGCGUGUCAACUUGAAUAAGAUGGUGCUGAGAGUGACACUGAGCCAAGGAGACGUCUUUCGCAGGUCCGCAGCUACGAUGGGCAGUUUUACUGACAAUCUGGGUGAACCCCACUGUUUGUGGGCCAUGUGUCAACACCCAUGCUGCUGGGAGGCGGUGUACAGGGUCGCUAAAGGCAUUCAACGGCCUGUGCUCACGCCAUCUCCCAAGGAGCGUGAACCCAAACAGGGUACAGUGCCGUUAAGGCUUCUGCUGCAUAAUUUAAUUUGUUUGCAUUUCGGUCUAUAAAAUGAUUUGUUUGAUACGGUUUGCUUUUGUGGUGUUUGCAGAAGGGCUCCCAAGGCUGAGUGUUGUGAAUGUUUCUGAGUGGGCCGAGUGCAAGCGUAAGGCUAAGCGUUUGGAGAGAACCGAAGCUUCUGUGCGAAGGCAGUCCUACCAAAGUCAAAAAAAAGAAGAAGAUGAUAAAGCAGCACAAGGGUAAGGUGGAUCAUUGACAUACUGAUUAAAUUCUUUUAAUCCAUGACGCUAUGUCAUUUUUGCAAGGUGAAAUCAUUUCUAAUGCCAUCCAAUAUUAGCCCACACCUACACCCACAGUUGGGCUCAAGACAUAAGAGUCCAGAUCCUAACUGCACUGAACUCAGAAAGGUAGUUAAGGUUGGUUUUUCUUUUAUUAUUCCAGUAGGUUUUCUUUGUAUGUCAAUGUCUUACAUGUAUAAUGCUUUAUUCAGUGUAUUCAGUGCCUUCCUAUUCUUUAUUCUCCCUCGUUUAAAAUAUGAGCAGCUAAAUACAGCGUUGAUCAACCCACUUGUCACAUGCUCAAGUUCAUUUUGGGGAUCCAAUUCUGCACCACUGCGGAUGGUGGGGGAUCCACGUAAAUCUCCUCAAAAGGACUCAGAGAACAGGUUUGGUGUGUGGUGA
rnacentral:lncRNA from 1 species